AAGGAUUUAAGUUAAAUUAAACUUUUAACCUUCAAAGUUAAAAAUAGAAAAGUUUCUAAGCCUUA
rnacentral:tRNA from 1 species